GACGAACGCUGGCGGCGUGCUUAACACAUGCAAGUCGAACGAUGAAGAAAAGAAUCGAAGCUUCGGCAGAAAUUCAUUUCGGAUUAGUGGCAGACAGGUGAGUAACGCGUGAGCAACCUACCUCUUACAAAGGGAUAGCCUCGGGAAACCGGGAUUAAUACCAUAUAACAUUGUGACGAAGCAUUUCGAUGCAAUCAAAGCUACGGCGGUAAGAGAUGGGCUCGCGUCCCAUUAACCGGAUGGUGAGGUAACGGCUCACCAUAGUGACGAUGGGUAACCGGCCUGAGAGGGUGAACGGUCACACUGGAACUGAGACACGGUCCAGACUCCUACGGGAGGCAGCAGUGGGGAAUAUUGCACAAUGGAGGGAACUCUGAUGCAGCGACGCCGCGUGAGUGAUGAAGGAAUUCGUUUCGUAAAACUCUGUUCUAUGGGAAGAAAAGGACUGUACCAUAGGAGAAAGCUCCGGCUAAAUACGUG
rnacentral:rRNA from 1 species